CGGAGUGUAGCUCAGCCUGGUAGAGUGCUAGCUUCGGGAGCUAGAGGCCCAGGGUUCGAAUCCCUGCACUCCGACCA
rnacentral:tRNA from 2 species